rnacentral:rRNA from 1 species
GGACUACUGGGGUUUCUAAUCCUGUUCGCUACCCACGCUUUCGUCCAUCAGCGUCAAUCCACUGGUAGCAACCUGCCUUCGCAAUUGGUAUUCCAUGUAAUCUCUAAGCAUUUCACCGCUACACUACAUAUUCUAGUUGCUUCCCAGUAAUUCAAGUCCAGCAGUAUCAAUGGCCGUUCCACCGUUGAGCGAUGGGCUUUCACCACUGACUUACCAGACCGCCUACGGACCCUUUAAACCCAAUGAUUCCGGAUAACGCUUGGAUCCUCCGUAUUACCGCGGCUGCUGGCAC